CCCUUUACACAUCUCCGCACAACCUCAGCAUGCAGAGCAGCUCUUUCCCACAACUAAGGAAGACUGAAAAGUCUUCGGAGCAUCAUUUUUUACUGUGCUCAUCUCCGUAACUCCACGUGCACUAGGCAAAUGACAGAUAAAAUUUAAAGAAAAAUAACAGCAUUGCAACACAAUGGUGUUCACAACACUGUCUUUUGCCUGCUGUAUGGACCAGAAGCCAAAGGAAGACUUCAGGAGCCCAAAGAAAAAGAACUUCAUUAGUUCUGAAGACUGCUCAGUAGGCAACAUGUUGAAUACAAGAUCAGUUUGAACUGUAGUUUUUCUGCAAGCUUCCAGUAUUGUCUUGUCAUCAGCCCGUGAGUCUUACGUGAAUGAUUCCUGCUC
rnacentral:lncRNA from 1 species